rnacentral:rRNA from 1 species
GACGAACCGAGCGAACGUUGUUCGGAAUCACUGGGCUUAAAGGGCGCGUAGGCGGGCAAGCAAGUCCGGGGUGAAAUCUUUCGGCUCAACCGGAAAAGUGCCUUGGAUACUGCUUGUCUGGAGGGAGGUAGGGGCAUGCGGAACUUCUGGUGGAGCGGUGAAAUGCGUUGAUAUCAGAAGGAACGCCGGUGGCGAAAGCGGCGUGCUGGACCUCUUCUGACGCUGAGGCGCGAAAGCUAGGGGAGCAAACGGG